rnacentral:rRNA from 1 species
GCUUUACUGUAGUUUGAAAUUGCAUUUUGGCUUGUUUUGCGCAGGAUAGGUGGGAGGCUAUGAAAACAACUUUGUGGAGCUGUUAGAGCCAUUAGUGAGAUACCACUCUGAUCAAGUUGAAAUUCUAACUUUGAAUCGUUAUCCGGUCAAAGAACAGUUUCAAAUGGGCAGUUUGACUGGGGCGGUCGCCUCCUAAAAAGUAACGGAGGCGCGCAAAGGUUUCUUCAGGCUGGUUGGAAAUCAGUCGUAGAGUGUAAAGGCAAAAAGAAGCUUGACUGCAAGACUUACUAGUCGAGCAGAGACGAAAGUCGGCCUUAAUGAUCCGGCAGUGCUGAGUGGAAAGGCUGUCGCUCAACGGAUAAAAGUUA